rnacentral:rRNA from 1 species
CCUACGUGAGGCAGCAGUGAGGAAUAUUGCACAAUGGGGGAAACCCUGAUGCAGCGACGCCGCGUGAGUGAAGAAGUAAUUCGUUAUGUAAAGCUCUAUCAGCAGGGAAGAAAAUGACGGUACCUGAGUAAGAAGCCCCGGCUAACUACGUGCCAGCAGCCGCGGUAAUACGUAGGGGGCAAGCGUUAUCCGGAUUUACUGGGUGUAAAGGGAGCGUAGACGGCAGUGCAAGUCUGGAGUGAAAGGCGGGGGCUCAACCCCCGGACUGCUCUGGAAACUGUACGGCUGGAGUGCAGGAGAGGUAAGUGGAAUUCCUAGUGUAGCGGUGAAAUGCGUAGAUAUUAGGAGGAACACCAGUGGCGAAGGCGGCUUACUGGACUGUAACUGACGUUGAGGCUCGAAAGCGUGGGGAGCAAACAGGAUUAGAUACCCGGGUAGUC